rnacentral:rRNA from 3 species
AAAUUGAAGAGUUUGAUCAUGGCUCAGAUUGAACGCUGGCGGCAGGCCUAACACAUGCAAGUCGAACGGUAACAGGAAGCAGCUUGCUGCUUUGCUGACGAGUGGCGGACGGGUGAGUAAUGUCUGGGAAACUGCCUGAUGGAGGGGGAUAACUACUGGAAACGGUGGCUAAUACCGCAUAAUGUCGCAAGACCAAAGAGGGGGA